CAAUGGGAAGUUUGGUUUCCGUGAAUUUUUAGACCAAUCAGAGAGCGGAAUGCCACAGAGACUCCGCCUUCUUUCCCGUGUUGGCAGAAUUGAUUGUAUGCGGGAGAUCCGACCCUGAUGAGACAGCUGAGACAGAAGCCGUUAAGAUCAGUUGGAACUGUUAGCUCUUCCGGCAGUUGGUUGGCAGUUGGUCUCAGUUCAACUGAAGUGCCCUACGUGUCCAGACUGAGUCACUAUGUAGUUGUUCUGAACGUGCCGCACUGAGAUCGAUCAGGUUUUUAUUUUUUUCUCCUGGAUUGUUCCUGAGGUGGAUUCCCCAUUUAACUUUCCUGGAGUGGAUUCCUCUAUUGACCUUGAUGGCGGGUCUUCCCACCUGGACUUAGAGAGAACUGGAUUUCCUCCCUUGCGUUUGGAGCCCUGCUGCACCCUGCAAUGUGGUAGGCUGUUAUCACUCACAUCUUCGCACACAGUGGUUAUGUAUGAGACACUGACUGACAUUUUUUGUUGUUGUUUCCUGGACAUAUUGGACACUGCCUUUCGGACCGUUUUCUUUUUAUUUGACAUGACAAUAAACUGCUGUGUAGGAGAUUCUCCUUAUGUGAAUGAUGUUGAGUGAGACCUGAAUUGGGAUUUAAUUUGAUUGAUUUGUUGUUUAAAAAGAUUAGAGUGCAGAUUACCAGGGUGCACCCAAAAGAUUUAAAUUUGAGGUUUAGCACUUUAUUGUUGUUUUUAUUUUAUGUAUUUUAUUGUGUGUCAUUUUAUUUUCUUAAUUGUGUGUCUUGUCCAAUUGUGAGUUUAUGGUUAAUGUUACUAAAGCUAAUUG